GCCUCACUGGCGCAAUGGUUAGCGUACGAGCCUUCUAAGCUCGGGGUUGCGGGUUCGAGUCCCGCGUGAGGUU